CCUACGGGAGGCAGCAGUCGAGAAUCAUUCACAAUGGGGGAAACCCUGAUGGUGCGACGCCGCGUGGGGGAAUGAAGGUCUUCGGAUUGUAAACCCCUGUCAUGUGGGAGCAAAUUAAAAAGAUAGUACCACACGAGGAAGAGACGGCUAACUCUGUGCCAGCAGCCGCGGUAAUACAGAGGUCUCAAGCGUUGUUCGGAAUCACUGGGCGUAAAGCGUGCGGAGGCUGUUUCGUAAGUCGUGUGUGAAAGGCGCGGGCUCAACCCGCGGACGGCACAUGAUACUGCGAGACUAGAGUAAUGGAGGGGGAACCGGAAUUCUCGGUGUAGCAGUGAAAUGCGUAGAUAUCGAGAGGAACACUCGUGGCGAAGGCGGGUUCCUGGACAUUAACUGACGCUGAGGCACGAAGGCCAGGGGAGCGAAAGGGAUUAGAUACCCUGGUAGUC
rnacentral:rRNA from 1 species